rnacentral:lncRNA from 1 species
CCUCUGUGCCCUGGUGGGCCGAGGCUGCCCAGGCUCUGGGGACCCUUCAGGGGAUCCCUCCUCAGCUGCAGUGGCUGGAACCUGCUCGAGACAGCACUGGAGCUACUGGGAAUGUCCCUGCCCCCAGCAGCAACGCUGCUCCUACUUUUCCUAGGCUUGGAGGACUUCUGCAAGCCCUGGGAACAGCUUUUGCAAAUGUCUCUAAAUGCAGCUAGAAGGAGGUGGAGGGUGAAUCUGAUGCACCUCCAGCAGCCUGGUCCAGCUCAGACAGAGGAAGAGGACACUGACCCUGCUGGUGCCAUGUGUGGCAGGUGGCAAAGCUGCUGUCACUGCUGGCUUUGGAGAACUGAAUUUGUGACCUGGCAAUGCUUCUGGAAGGCUCCCCAAGAUGGCAACAGUGAAGUACUCCAUGACUUGCAGCAAAUACCGAAGAUCUUUAGCUACUUUUUCAGAG